rnacentral:lncRNA from 1 species
ACUCUAAACCCUAACCACCGCAACUGUCGCCAACCGCCACGAUCACCACCAUUUCCGUCGGAGGUUUCAGUCAGGGGAGUCGGAAAUGGCUGCCACUGAUAAUACCAGAUCCUCGAGGACGACAGAAACAAUGUCACACCGUAACAACAACCCGGCACCACCGCCUCUGCCACUAGUGGUCACUCUCAACUGCGUCGACGAUUGCGGC